rnacentral:rRNA from 1 species
AAAGUCCCCUUCGGGGGACAAGUAGAGUGGCGCACGGGUGAGUAACACGUAGGUAAUCUACCUUCGGAUGGGGAAUAACACCGAGAAAUCGGUGCUAAUACCGCAUAAUGCAGCGGCACCUAAUGGUGACAGUUGUUAAAGCGGGGGAUCGUAAGACCUCGCGUCUGAAGAGGAGCCUGCGGCGGAUUAGCUAGUUGGUAAGGUAACGGCUUACCAAGGCUACGAUCCGUAACCGGCCUGAGAGGGCGGUCGGUCACACUGACACUGACAUACGGGUCAGACUCCUACGGGAGGCAGCAGUCGGGAAUUUUGGGCAAUGGGCGAAAGCCUGACCCAGCAACGCCGCGUGAAGGAUGAAAUCCCUCGGGAUGUAAACUUCGCAAGAACGGGAAGAAUAAGUGAGGGUUAAUAUCUCUUACGAUGACGGUACCGUUUGUAAGCUCCGGCUAACUCCGUGCCAGCAGCCGCGGUAAUACGGGGGGAGCAAGCGUUGUUCGGAUUUACUGGGCGUAAAGGGCGCGUAGGCGGCCAGCACAAGUCAGUUGUGAAAUCUCCGAGCUUAACUCGGAAAGGUCAACUGAUACUGUGCGGCUAGAGUGCAGAAGGGGCAACUGGAAUUCUCGGUGUAGCGGUGAAAUGCGUAGAUAUCGAGAGGAACACCUGCGGCGAAGGCGGGUUGCUGGGCUGACACUGACGCUGAGGCGCGAAAGCUAGGGGAGCGAACGGGAUUAGAUACCCCGGUAGUCCUAGCCUUAAACGAUAAAUGCUUGGUGUCUGGGGUUAUAAAGU